rnacentral:rRNA from 1 species
UGUCGACUUGGAGGUUGUGCCCUUGAGGCGUGGCUUCCGGAGCUAACGCGUUAAGUCGACCGCCUGGGGAGUACGGCCGCAAGGUUAAAACUCAAAUGAAUUGACGGGGGCCCGCACAAGCGGUGGAGCAUGUGGUUUAAUUCGAUGCAACGCGAAGAACCUUACCUGGUCUUGACAUCCACGGAAGUUUUCAGAGAUGAGAAGUGCCUUCGGGAACCGUGAGACAGGUGCUGCAUGGCUGUCGUCAGCUCGUGUUGUGAAAUGUUGGGUUAAGUCCCGCAACGAGCGCAACCCUUAUCCUUUGUUGCCAGCGGUCCGGCCGGGAACUCAAAGGAGACUGCCAGUGAUAAACUGGAGGAAGGUGGGGAUGACGUCAAGUCAUCAUGGCCCUUA